AAUUCGACGCUGGCGGCGUGCCUAUACAUGCAAGUCGAGCGGACAGAAGGGAGCUUGCUCCCGGAUGUUAGCGGCGGACGGGUGAGUAACACGUGGGUAACCUGCCUGUAAGACUGGGAUAACUCCGGGAAACCGGAGCUAAUACCGGAUAGUUCCUUGAACCGCAUGGUUCAAGGAUGAAAGACGGUUUCGGCUGUCACUUACAGAUGGACCCGCGGCGCAUUAGCUAGUUGGUGAGGUAACGGCUCACCAAGGCGACGAUGCGUAGCCCACCUGAGAGGAUGAUCGGCCACGCUGGUACUGAAACACGGCCCAUACUCCUAGGGGAGGCACCAUUACGCCUUCCUCCGGGUUGGACAAAGGUCUGACCGAACACCGCCGAGUGAAUUAUGGUUUUUUAACGUAAGGGCUGCUGUUUG
rnacentral:rRNA from 1 species